GUCUAUAGUCAUGCCACCCUGAACGUGCCCGAUCUCGUCGGGGCUGGUUAAUACUUGGAUGGGAGACCACCUAGGAAUACCAGGUGCUGUAGGCA
rnacentral:rRNA from 1 species